UACGUAGGGUGCCAGCGUUGUCCGGAAUUAUUGGGCGUAAAGAGCUCGUAGGCGGUCUGUCGCGUCUGCUGUGAAAACUCGGGGCUUAACCCCGGGCCUGCAGUGGGUACGGGCAGACUAGAGUGCGGUAGGGGAGACUGGAAUUCCUGGUGUAGCGGUGAAAUGCGCAGAUAUCAGGAGGAACACCGGUGGCGAAGGCGGGUCUCUGGGCCGUAACUGACGCUGAGGAGCGAAAGCAUGGGGAGCGAACAGG
rnacentral:rRNA from 1 species